UACGUAGGGCGCAAGCGUUGUCCGGAAUUAUUGGGCGUAAAGAGCUCGUAGGCGGUUUGUCGCGUCUGCUGUGAAAACUCGGGGCUUAACUCCGGGCCUGCAGUGGGUACGGGCAGACUAGAGUGCGGUAGGGGAGACUGGAAUUCCUGGUGUAGCGGUGAAAUGCGUAGAUAUCUGGAGGAACACCGGUGGCGAAGGCGGCGUUCUGGACUGUUUCUGACACUGAAAAACGAAAGCCAGGGGAGCAAACGGG
rnacentral:rRNA from 1 species